GUGAGUCAUCGAAUCUUUGAACGCAACUUGCGCUCUCUGGUAUUCCGGAGAGCAUGCCUGUUUGAGUGUCAUGAAAUCUCAACCAUUAGGGUUUCUUAAUGGCUUGGAUUUGGGUGUUGCCAGUCUCUGGCUCGCCUUAAAGGAGUUAGCGAGUUUAACAAUGUCCUCUGGAGUAAUAAGUUUCUCUGGAAAGGCUUGUGAAGUUUGCUUCUAAUCGUCUUCGGACAAUUACUUUGACUCUGGCCUCAAAUCAGGUAGGACUACCCGCUGAACUUAAGCAUAUCAAUAAGCGGAGGA
rnacentral:misc_RNA from 1 species